rnacentral:rRNA from 1 species
UACGUAGGGUGCAAGCGUUAAUCGGACUUACUGGGCGUAAAGCGUGCGCAGGCGGUUUUGUAAGACAGGCGUGAAAUCCCCGGGCUCAACCUGGGAAUUGCGCUUGUGACUGCAAGGCUGGAGUGCGGCAGAGGGGGAUGGAAUUCCGCGUGUAGCAGUGAAAUGCGUAGAUAUGCGGAGGAACACCGAUGGCGAAGGCAAUCCCCUGGGCCUGCACUGACGCUCAUGCACGAAAGCGUGGGGAGCAAACAGG